rfam:Clostridium tyrobutyricum DIVETGP, WGS project CBXI01000000 data, contig: NODE_16
AGAAUAUAAAUAAAUUCAGGUGCCUAUUUUAGGUGAAAAGGGAAUAUGGUUAAAAUCCAUAACAGCCCCCGCUACUGUAUUUGAAGACGAAUCUUUUUUAUGCCACCUUGAUAGGGGAAGGCCAGAAGACAAGGAUGAAUCAUAAGUCAGGAGACCUGCCUGGUGUUAUUUUGUUUA